CUAGCGACUUCAGAGUUUGAUCCUGGCUCAGGAUAAACGCUGGCGGCGUGCAUAACACAUUCAAGUCGAACGGGAAUCAGAUGAUGGAGACUUCGGUCAAAAGAGUCUGAGGAUAGUGGCGGACGGGUGAGUAACGCGUGAGCAACUUGCCUUUGUGAGGGGGAUAACACAGGGAAACUUGUGCUAAUACCGCAUGAAGCCUUUUUUAAGCAUUUAGAGAAGGUCAAAGGAGAAAUCCGCACAGAGAUAGGCUCGCGUCUGAUUAGAUAGUUGGUGAGGUAACGGCUCACCAAGUCGACGAUCAGUAGCCGGACUGAGAGGUUGAACGGCCACAUUGGAACUGAGAUACGGUCCAG
rnacentral:rRNA from 1 species